rnacentral:rRNA from 1 species
UACGUAGGGGGCAAGCGUUGUCCGGAAUCAUUGGGCGUAAAGCGCGUGUAGGCGGCCCGGUAAGUCCGCUGUGAAAGUCCAGGGCUCAACCCUGGAAAGCCGGUGGAUACUGCCGGGCUAGAGUCCGGAAGAGGCGAGUGGAAUUCCUGGUGUAGCGGUGGAAUGCGCAGAUAUCAGGAGGAACACCGAUGGCGAAGGCAGCUCGCUGGGACGGUACUGACGCUGAGGCGCGAAAGCGUGGGGAGCGAACAGG